rnacentral:rRNA from 1 species
UGCCAGCAGCCGCGGUAAUACAGAGGGUGCAAGCGUUAAUCGGAAUUACUGGGCGUAAAGGGCGCGUAGGUGGUUAUUUAAGUCAAAGGUGAAAUCCCCGGGCUCAACCUGGGAAUUGCCUGUGAUACUGGGUAACUAGAGUAUGGUAGAGGGAAGUGGAAUUUCCGGUGUAGCGGUGAAAUGCGUAGAUAUCGGAAGGAACACCGGUGGCGAAGGCGACUUCCUGGGCCAAUACUGACGCUGAGGUGCGAAAGCGUGGGUAGCAAACAGGAUUAGAUA